rnacentral:rRNA from 1 species
AGAACCCCGGCGAGGGGAGUGAAAAAGAACCUGAAACCGUGUACGUACAAGCAGUGGGAGCACCCUUCGGGGUGUGACUGCGUACCUUUUGUAUAAUGGGUCAGCGACUUAUAUUCUGUAGCAAGGUUAACCGUAUAGGGGAGCCGGAGGGAAACCGAGUCUUAAUUGGGCGUUAAGUUGCAGGGUAUAGACCCGAAACCCGGUGAUCUAGCCAUGGGCAGGUUGAAGGUUGGGUAACACUAACUGGAGGACCGAACCGACUAAUGUUGAAAAAUUAGCGGAUGACCUGUGGCUGGGGGUGAAAGGCCAAUCAAACCGGGAGAUAGCUGGUUCUCCCCGAAAGCUAUUUAGGUAGCGCCUCGUGAAUUCAUCUCCGGGGGUAGAGCACUGUUUCGGCUAGGGGGCCAUCCCGGCUUACCAACCCGAUGCAAACUGCGAAUACCGGAGAAUGUUAUCACGGGAGACACACGGCGGGUGCUAACGUCCGUCGUGAAGAGGGAAACAACCCAGACCGCCAGCUAAGGUCCCAAAGUCAUGGUUAAGUGGGAAACGAUGUGGGAAGGCCCAGACAGCCAGGAUGUUGGCUUAGAAGCAGCCAUCAUUUAAAGAAAGCGUAAUAGCUCACUGGUCGAGUCGGCCUGCGCGGAAGAUGUAACGGGGCUAAACCAUGCACCGAAGCUGCGGCAGCGAACGUAUCACCCAAGACAACUUUACGGAGUUGACGAUUGACGGAGCGAAGCGACGUCAAAGCGUUCAUUAAAGUCGAGUUGGCUUAGGGAUACGUUCGUUGGGUAGGGGAGCGUUCUGUAAGCCUGUGAAGGUGUGUCGUGAGGCAUGCUGGAGGUAUCAGAAGUGCGAAUGCUGACAUAAGUAACGAUAAAGCGGGUGAAAAGCCCGCUCGCCGGAAGACCAAGGGUUCCUGUCCAACGUUAAUCGGGGCAGGGUGAGUCGACCCCUAAGGCGAGGCCGAAAGGCGUAGUCGAUGGGAAACGGGUUAAUAUUCCCGUACUUGGUGUUACUGCGAAGGGGGGACGGAGAAGGCUAUGUUGGCCGGGCGACGGUUGUCCCGGUUUAAGCGUGUAGGUGUGUGUUCCAGGUAAAUCCGGUU